AUGGCAUCAACAGGGCACACAAGUGAUAUUAUUUGUCGUCGUUGUAAGGGAGGAGGUCAUUAUGCGAGAGAAUGCAAAUCUCCGCGUGUGAUGAUUGCUACCGCAGAUGGUGGAUAUGAGUCCGCUAGUGACUAUGAUGAGGAGACUUUGGCUCUUAUUACACGUGAAGAACAUGGUGGAGAUGAUUCUGAUCAUGAGACGCAAUACAUGGCUCCUGAAGACGCUGACCGGUAUGAAUGUUUAGUUGCUCAACGUGUUUUGAGUGUGCAGGUCACACAAGCUGAGCAAAAUCAGAGGCACAAUUUGUUCCAUACCAAGGGAGUUGUGAAGGAACGUUCUAUGCGCGUCAUCAUAGAUGGAGGGAGCUGCAACAACUUGGCUAGCAUGGAGAUGGUGGAGAAGCUUUCUCUCACCACAAGACCACAUCCACAUCCUUACUACAUCCAAUGGUUCAAGAACAGCGGCAAGGUUAAGGUAACACGUACUGUUCGUGUGCAUUUUAGUAUCUCUACAUAUGCUGAUUAUGUUGAUUGUGAUCUGGUACCUAUGCAAGCAUGUUCCUUAUUACUUGGUAGACCAUGGCAAUUUGAUAAAAAUUCUGUACACCAUGGUAGAAACAAUCACUAUACUCUUGUUCAUAAGGAUAAAAAUAUUACUUUGCUUCCUAUGACUCCUGAUUCCAUUUUGAAAGAUGAUAUUAAUAGAGCUAAUAAAGCAAAACAGGAGACGAAUAAGAGUGAAAAUCAGAUUGUGGCAAAAGAAUUUGAGCAACAAAUGAAGCCUAAUAAUAAACCAUCUAGUGUUGCUUCUGAAAUUAAAUUGAAAAGUGCAUGUUUAUUUGCCACCAAAUCUGAUAUUGAUGAGCUAGAUUUCAGCAAAUCUUUUUGUUAUGCUUUUGUGUGCAAAGAGGCAUUAUUUUCAUUCGAGGACGUGCCUUCCUCUUUGCCUCCUGCUGUCACUAACAUUUUGCAGGAGUUCGCUGUCGUCUUUCCACAAGAGUGCCCCGGGGUUACCGCCUAUUCGAGGGAUUGA
rnacentral:rRNA from 1 species